UAGGGUAUAGCCAAAUACGGUAAGGCUUUAGUUUUUGAUACUAACAUCUAAAGGUUCAAUUCCUUUUGCCCUAG
rnacentral:tRNA from 1 species